UUCUUCUUCCUCCCAAUGUGACUUUCUUUCUUCACCAUAAAAAUCAAGUUUUUUCUUCUCCUUUCUCUUCUUUUCUUACUUCUCCAUUCUCCUACCCCUUUAUUCACCCAACCCAAAACUCUCAACCUCAUUUUUCAUCACAACUGAACCCUAGGAGAGGGAGAAAGGAAGAAAGAAGAAAUGAAAGAAAAAAAGGAAAAAGAAGAGAAAAGCUUGGAGGAGGCUUGGCCUU
rnacentral:lncRNA from 1 species